rnacentral:pre_miRNA from 1 species
UGAUGAUGAUGAUUAUGAUGAUGAUGGUGAUGGCGAUGGUGAUGGUGACCGCCUUCUUCUUCUUCUUAAUCACCAUCAUCAUCACCGUCAUCAUCAUGGCCAUAA